GCCUGCUUGGCUCAGUCAGUAGAGCAUGUGACUCUUGAUCUCAGGAUUGUAGGUUCGAGCCCCACAGUGGGUG
rfam:Felis catus isolate Cinnamon breed Abyssinian chromosome B3, whole genome shotgun sequence.